rnacentral:rRNA from 1 species
UUUUCGCAAUGCCCGAAAGGGUGACGAAGCGACGCCGCGUGGGUGAGGAAGGCCUUCGGGUUGUAAAGCCCUGUCAGGAGUUAAGAAAUAUAAGUGCGUUAAUACCGCAUUUAUUUGACGAAGGCUCCAAAGGAAGCCACGGCUAACUCUGUGCCAGCAGCCGCGGUAAUACAGAGGUGGCAAGCGUUGUUCGGAAUUAUUGGGCGUAAAGAGCACGUAGGUGGGUUUGUAAGUCAGAUGUGAAAGCCUUCUGUUCAACGGAAGAAUUGCAUCUGAAACUGCGAGUCUUGAGUGUAGGAGGGGAGAAUGGAACUUCUGGUGGAGCGGUGAAAUGCGUAGAUAUCAGAAGGAACGCCGGCGGCGAAAGCGAUUCUCUGGCCUAUUACUGACACUCAGUGUGCGAAAGCUAGGGGAGCAAACGGGAUUAGAUACCCCGGUAGUCCUAGCCGUAAACGAUGGGCACUAAGUAGAGGGGUU